rnacentral:rRNA from 1 species
ACUCCUACGGGUGGCUGCAGUGGGGAAUAUUGGACAAUGGGGGCAACCCUGAUCCAGCAAUGCCGCGUGUGUGAAGAAGGCCUUAGGGUUGUAAAGCACUUUCGUUAGUGAAGAAAGGUUUAUGGUUAAUACCUGUGAAUUUGACAUUAGCUAAAGAAGAAGCACCGGCUAACUCCGUGCCAGCAGCCGCGGUAAUACGGAGGGUGCAAGCGUUAUUCGGAAUGACUGGGCGUAAAGCGCACGCAGGCGGUUAUUUAAGUCAGAUGUGAAAGCCCCGGGCUUAACCUGGGAAUUGCAUUUGAAACUGGGUAACUAGAGUAUGUCAGAGGAAGGCGGAAUUUCCAGUGUAGCAGUGAAAUGCGUAGAGAUUGGAAGGAACACCGAUGGCGAAGGCAGCCUUCUGGGGCAAUACUGACGCUCAUGUGCGAAAGCGUGGGUAGCAAACAGGAUUAGAUACCCUGGUAGUCCACGCCCUAAACGAUGUCAACUAGGUGUUGGGCACUUAAGUGCUCGGUACCGCAGCUAACGCAUUAAGUUGACCGCCUGGGGAGUACGGCCGCAAGGUUGAAACUCAAAGAAAUUGACGGGGACCCGCACAAGCGGUGGAGCAUGUGGUUUAAUUCGAUGCAACGCGAAGAACCUUACCAGGCCUUGACAUCCAGAGAACUAAGCAGAGAUGCUAUGGUGCCUUCGGGAACUCUGAGACAGGUGCUGCAUGGAUGUCGUCAGCUCGUG